rnacentral:rRNA from 1 species
GACGAACGCUGGCGGCGUGCCUAAUACAUGCAAGUAGAACGCACAGUUUAUACCGUAGCUUGCUACACCAUAAACUGUGAGUUGCGAACGGGUGAGUAACGCGUAGGUAACCUGCCUGGUAGCGGGGGAUAACUAUUGGAAACGAUAGCUAAUACCGCAUAAUAUUGAUUAUUGCAUGAUAAUUGAUUGAAAGAUGCUAUUGCAUCACUACCAGAUGGACCUGCGUUGUAUUAGCUAGUAGGUGAGGUAACGGCUCACCUAGGCGACGAUACAUAGCCGACCUGAGAGGGUGAUCGGCCAACCUGGGACUGAGACACGGCCCAGACGCCUACGGGAGGCAGCAGUAGGGAAUCUUCGGCAAUGGACGAGAGUCUGACCGAGAAACGCCGCGUGAGUGAAGAAGGUUUUCGGAUCGUAAAGCUCUGUUGUAAGAGAAGAACGGGUGUGAGAGUGGAAAGUUCACACUGUGACGGUAUCUUACCAGAAAGGGACGGCUAACUACGUG